ACUUCAGUUCAGACUAGGCCACGAAGCUCCUUAGUGAGGAGCUGCCAUGCUGGGCCAACAACCAUCUGGUGUCUAAGAAAGACAGCCCAAUUCCUAAGACUCAGGGAAUAGAACACUGCACCUUCCAGAAGUACUUUCUUCUUGGGCACACCACCAGCUAAGAAAGCAGCCUCACGAUGAUUGUUGUUUUAUGGAUGCUUCUCAUUGCAGGAACCAUGUGGAAGGGAUAUAAAUACCCCCCAGGAGGGACCCCAGUGGAAGUAAGCAAGGAUGAUCCUGGUGAACUAAUGCAGCUCUGAAGCUCACCUGACCAGCUGUACAGUUCCUGUUGUUGGUUUCGCAUAAAGUAAUUGCACAUUAUUUUGUCAUA